UAGGGAAUCUUCCACAAUGGACGAAAGUCUGAUGGAGCAACGCCGCGUGUGUGAUGAAGGGUUUCGGCUCGUAAAACACUGUUGUAAGAGAAGAAUGACAUUGAGAGUAACUGUUCAAUGUGUGACGGUAUCUUACCAGAAAGGAACGGCUAAAUAUGUGCCAG
rnacentral:rRNA from 1 species